ACCCAGAUGGCGGAAUAGGUAUACGCGCUGAACUCAAAAUUCAGUGAUGUAAAAUCAUGCGGGUUCGAAUCCCGCUCUGGGUA
rnacentral:tRNA from 2 species